rnacentral:misc_RNA from 1 species
AAUCCUUCAUUACCCAUAACUUAAGAGUAGUCUCUCUCGAGUUAGAAGGAGCAUGAGUGUAACAAAAGCAAAGCAUUCCUCCUAAUAUUGAAACUCCAUGGUUGGUGAAACCUUUGACAUUUUCCAUCAUUGGCUCUAGCAACUGUAUCUCUCCGUACACCUCAUCUGAUGAUUAUCAACAUCCAUCAGCUUUCCUGUCUUUGACAGCUUUCCCUAUUCUUUUGGGUCAUUUGGAGCUUCCUCUUCUCUCUAUAUUUAUUGCUUUGACCAAUUCAUUCCACCAAUUAAUUUGCCCAUCUGG